rnacentral:tRNA from 1 species
GACCUUGUAGCUCAGACAGUAGAGCAUCGUUCUAGAAAUACGAAGGUCGCGGGUUCGAAUCCCAGCCGCGGUCA